CCUACGGGGGGCAGCAGUGAGGACUAUUGGUCAAUGGUCGCGAGCCUGAACCAGCAAAGUCGCGUGAGGGAAGACGGUCCUAUGGAUUGUAACCCUCUUUUGUCGGGGAGCAAAAGACGCAACGCGUGGCGUUCAGAGGGUACCCGAAGAAAAAGCAUCGGCUACCUCCGUGCCAGCAGACGCGGUAAUACGGAGGAUGCGAGCGUUAGCCGGAUUUGUUGGGUUAAAAGGGUGCGCAGGCGGAAGAUCAAGUCAGCGGUAAAAGUGAGAGGCUCAACCUCUGCGUGCCGUUGAAACUGGUUUUCUUGAGUGAGCGAGAAGUAUGCGGAAUGCGGGGUGUAGCGGUGAAAUGCAUAGAUAUCACGCAGAACUCCGAUUGCGAAGGCAGCAUACCGGCGCUCAACUGACGCUCAGGCACGAAAGUGUGGGUAUCGAACAGGAUUAGAUACCCCUGUAGUC
rnacentral:rRNA from 1 species